CCUACGGGUGGCUGCAGUGAGGAAUAUUGGUCAAUGGGCGCGAGCCUGAACCAGCCAAGUAGCGUGAAGGAUGACUGCCCUACGGGUUGUAAACUUCUUUUAUAAAGGAAUAAAGUGAGGCACGUGUGCCUUUUUGUAUGUACUUUAUGAAUAAGGAUCGGCUAACUCCGUGCCAGCAGCCGAGGUAAUACGGAGGGUACGAGCGUUAUCCGGAUUUAUUGGGUUUAAAGGGCGCGUAGAUGGGGACUUAAGUCAGUUGUGAAAGUUUGCGGCUUAACCGUAAAAUUGCAAUUGAUACUGGCAGCCUAGAGUACAUUAGAGGUAGGCGGAAUUCGUGGUGUAGCGGUGAAAUGCUUAGAUAUCACGAAGAACUCCGAUUGCGAAGGCAGCCUACUAAACUGCCACUGACAUUGAUGCGCGAAAGUGUGGGUAUCAAACAGGAUUAGAUACCCUAGUAGUC
rnacentral:rRNA from 1 species